AGGGAAUUUUCGGCAAUGGGGGGAACCCUGACCGAGCAACGCCGCGUGAAGGAAGAAGGAAUUCGUUCUGUAAACUUCUGUUAUAAAGGAAGAACGGCGGAUAUAGGGAAUGAUAUCCGAGUGACGGUACUUUAUGAGAAAGCCACGGCUAACUACGUGCCAGCAGCCGCGGUAAUACGUAGGUGGCGAGCGUUAUCCGGAAUUAUUGGGCGUAAAGAGGGAGCAGGCGGCGGCAGAGGUCUGUGGUGAAAGACUGAAGCUUAACUUCAGUAAGCCAUAGAAACCGGGCUGCUAGAGUGCAGGAGAGGAUCGUGGAAUUCCAUGUGUAGCGGUGAAAUGCGUAGAUAUAUGGAGGAACACCAGUGGCGAAGGCGACGGUCUGGCCUGUAACUGACGCUCAUUCCCGAAAGCGUGGGGAGCAAAUAGGAUUAGAUACCCUAGUAGUCCACGCCGUAAACGAUGAGUACUAAGUGUUGGGAGUCAAAUUUCAGUGCUGCAGUUAACGCAAUAAGUACUCCGCCUGAGUAGUACGUUCGCAAGAAUGAAACUCAAAGGAAUUGACGGGGGCCCGCACAAGCGGUGGAGCAUGUGGUUUAAUUCGAAGCAACGCGAAGAACCUUACCAGGUCUUGACAUCCGGAUAAAGACCUCAGAGAUGAGGGGAUAGAUAUAUCCGAGACAGGUGGUGCAUGGUUGUCGUCAGCUCGUGUCGUGAGAUGUUGGGUUAAGUCCCGCAACGAGCGCAACCCUUGUCGCUAGUUACCAUCAUUAAGUUGGGGACUCUAGCGAGACUGCCAGUGACAAGCUGGAGGAAGGCGGGGAUGACGUCAAAUCAUCAUGCCCCUUAUGACCUGGGCUACACACGUGCUACAAUGGAUGGAGCAGAGGGAAGCGAAGCCGCGAGGUGAAGCAAAACCCAUAAAACCAUUCUCAGUUCGGAUUGUAGUCUGCAACUCGACUACAUGAAGUUGGAAUCGCUAGUAAUCGCGAAUCAGCAUGUCGCGGUGAAUACGUUCUCG
rnacentral:rRNA from 1 species